rnacentral:misc_RNA from 1 species
AAUCCUUCAAGCAUAUCCCAUCUCCGAUCUACAAGAAUCAGGGACAGCUCGAUGGUAUCGAGGCCCCGCUGGAACUUUUUCGAGUGGAUCGCUUCCGCUUGGACCUGAUCUCGUCUGCUUAUCCUUUACAUGGUCAUCAUGGAUCAGGACUCGCCGAGCACGGUGCCACAUAGCGCUCGAGACCUCUGGCCGAAGAUAACACAGGCGGUCAUGUCGGAUGGGAUGAGCCAGAGAGCCUUGCUCAUCCAGGAUCCGGGCUACCUGAGCGAAGUCUUUGAGCUCUCGCCGCGAUGGCGGUGCCUAUGAGCCACCUGGUCGAAAACUUACAAGGAAUGUGUCAG